rnacentral:rRNA from 1 species
GAUGAACGCUGGCGGCGUGCCUAAUACAUGCAAGUCGAGCGAACAGACGAGGAGCUUGCUCCUCUGACGUUAGCGGCGGACGGGUGAGUAACACGUGGAUAACCUACCUAUAGACUGGGAUAACUUCGGGAAACCGGUGCUAAUACCGGAUAAUAUAUUGAACCGCAUGGUUCAAUAGUGAAAGACGGUUUUGCUGUCACUUAUAGAUGGAUCCGCGCCGCAUUAGCUAGUUGGUAAGGUAACGGCUUACCAAGGCAACGAUGCGUAGCCGACCUGAGAGGGUGAUCGGCCACACUGGAACUGAGACACGGUCCAGACUCCUACGGGAGGCAGCAGUAGGGAAUCUUCCGCAAUGGGCGAAAGCCUGACGGAGCAACGCCGCGUGAGUGAUGAAGGUCUUCGGAUCGUAAAACUCUGUUAUUAGGGAAGAACAAAUGUGUAAGUAACUAUGCACGUCUUGACGGUACCUAAUCAGAAAGCCACGGCUAACUACGUG